GCCCGGCUAGCUCAGUCGGUAGAGCAUGAGACUCUUAAUCUCGGGGGUGGGUCGGGUUCGAGCCCCACGUUGGGCA